rnacentral:rRNA from 1 species
CAGUCGCCGCGGUAAUACGGAGGGUGCAAGCGUUAUCCGGAUUUAUUGGGUUUAAAGGGUCCGUAGGCGGAUCUGUAAGUCAGUGGUGAAAUCUCACAGCUUAACUGUGAAACUGCCAUUGAUACUGCAGGUCUUGAGUAAAUUUGAAGUGGCUGGAAUAAGUAGUGUAGCGGUGAAAUGCAUAGAUAUUACUUAGAACACCAAUUGCGAAGGCAGGUCACUAAGAUUUAACUGACGCUGAUGGACGAAAGCGUGGGGAGCGAACAGGAUUAGAUACCCGUGUAGUCCCUGUCUCUUAUAA